ACGCUAGCGGCAGGCUUAAUACAUGCAAGUCGUGGGGUAGCGCAGUGUAGCAAUACAUGGGCGACGACCGGCAAACGGGUGCGUAACACGUACGCAAUCCACCCACUACAGGGGAAUAGCCCAGGGAAACUUGGAUUAAUACCCCAUAUUAUAUAGGAUUGGCAUCAAUUUUAUAUCAAAGCUUCGGCGGUAGUGGAUGAGCGUGCGGUUGAUUAGAUAGUUGGCGGGGUAACGGCCCACCAAGUCUACGAUCAAUAGCUGAUGUGAGAGCAUGAUCAGCCACACGGGCACUGAGACACGGGCCCGACUCCUACGGGAGGCAGCAGUAAGGAAUAUUGGGCAAUGGACGCAAGUCUGACCCAGCCAUGCCGCGUGAAGGAUGAAGGUCCUCUGGAUUGUAAACUUCUUUUAUCUGGGGCGAAAACAACUCUUUCUAGAGUUCUUGACAGUACCAGAGGAAUAAGCACCGGCUAACUCCGUGCCAGCAGCCGCGGUAAUACGGAGGGUGCAAGCGUUAUCCGGAUUCACUGGGUUUAAAGGGUGCGUAGGCGGGCUAGUAAGUCAGUGGUGAAAUCCCCGAGCUUAACUUGGGAACUGCCGUUGAUACUAUUAGUCUUGAAUAUCGUGGAGGUAAGCGGAAUAUGUCAUGUAGCGGUGAAAUGCUUAGAUAUGACAUAGAACACCAAUUGCGAAGGCAGCUUGCUACACGAUUAUUGACGCUGAGGCACGAAAGCGUGGGG
rnacentral:rRNA from 1 species